rnacentral:rRNA from 1 species
UACGUAGGGUGCAAGCGUUAAUCGGAAUUACUGGGCGUAAAGCGUGCGCAGGCGGUUUUUUAAGACCGAUGUGAAAUCCCCGGGCUUAACCUGGGAACUGCAUUGGUGACUGCAAGGCUUGAGUGUGUCAGAGGGAGGUGGAAUUCCGCGUGUAGCAGUGAAAUGCGUAGAUAUGCGGAGGAACACCGAUGGCGAAGGCAGCCUCCUGGGAUAACACUGACGCUCAUGCACGAAAGCGUGGGGAGCAAACAGG